rnacentral:rRNA from 1 species
CCUACGGGAGGCAGCAGUGAGGAAUAUUGGUCAAUGGGCGAAAGCCUGAACCAGCCAAGCCGCGUGAAGGAAGAAGGAUCUAUGGUUUGUAAACUUCUUUUAUAUGGGAGUAAAGGCAGGAACGUGUUUCUUUUUGUAUGUACCAUAUGAAUAAGCAUCGGCUAACUCCGUGCCAGCAGCCGCGGUAAUACGGAGGAUGCGAGCGUUAUCCGGAUUUAUUGGGUUUAAAGGGUGCGUAGGUGGUCAAUUAAGUCAGCGGUGAAAGUUUGUGGCUCAACCAUAAAAUUGCCGUUGAAACUGGUUGACUUGAGUGUAGUUGAGGUAGGCGGAAUGCGUGGUGUAGCGGUGAAAUGCGUAGAUAUCACGCAGAACUCCGAUUGCGAAGGCAGCUUACUAAGCUAUAACUGACGCUGAAGCACGAAAGCGUGGGGAUCAAACAGGAUUAGAUACCCUGGUAGUC